GUCAGUGUUGGUACAUGUACAAAUGUACUUGGAUGAUGCGGCCUAAUAGUUUCGUUUUACACACCCUAGUCACUGUUCAAUAUUAUGAAUACAGAGAUGAAACGCUGACAUUCUCAAUGUAUGCGGAAAAAAAAUUGCAUUAAUUGUUUUCCUUAUUGCUUACAUUUGCCUCCCUACUAACAUGUUCACAGGAGUGCCAGGAGCAGACAUAAUUAGGCGCCAUCCCAACAGCGGUCAUUUAUUUUAUACAUUGAAUCCAGACAUCAAAAAUAUGGCUGAUUUACUAUGCGGAUAUAUAUAGAUUUUUAAAUUAAAGUGCACAUAUGCAGGUCAGUUUUUGGUCGAUGCAGUCAAAUAAUUUUGUUGUAUAAGUCAGCAUGAGGUAUCAUAUCUACUGAAAUUUUGUUACGUAUCAAUAUUUUGAAUAAAAGGAGGACAUGCUGACAUCCAAAAUUAAUGCAAACAAAAAUGUGUUGUUAUUAUAUUGCAAUAUUACUGUCCAUUGUAUUAUACAUUGAAUCCUGGCAUAAAAAAUAUGGCUUAUUACUAUGCGGGUAUACAUGGUAUAUAGAUUUUUAAAUUAAAGUGCACAUAUGCAGGUCAGUUUUUGGUCAAUGCAGUCAAAUCAUUUUGUUGUUAAAGUCAGCAUGAGGUAUCAUAUCUACUGAAAUUUUGUUACGUAUCAAUAUUUUGAAUAAAAGGAG
rnacentral:lncRNA from 1 species